ensembl:lncRNA
AUGUUGCCUUCCAAGUUUCUUUCUGAGCAUUGACUCUAGUAACCCUGUUAUAUAUUUUUUGUUGCAGCUGUGGACAGCUGUGUUCUGCUGCAGCACAGUGGCUGCUGUUCUCGUGCUGGCCAACAGCUGACUCCACUACCCUGAAAUGCACAGAGGCAUGAGAUGUUGAGCAGUAUGUUAUCCGUGCUGGAGCACAGGGGUCUUCUCCCUUGGAGGUUAGUCGUACAGGUACUGGAAAAAGCACAGUUAUGCCAUUACUGGAUGGUCUUCAAAAUCCUGUCCUUCUGAGCUAACCCAACCAAAGCUGGUGGCAUGAAGGAUUUCUGCUGAACAUCACUGGCAACUGGAUCAAGGCUUUUUUGACUCCUGUCUAUCAUACUCUGUCAUUCCAAAAAUGAGGCUCCGCCUGGAGAAAAAUAGACUGCUAUUUGCAGCAAGCCAGCAGGCAUAUAACCAACAACAUACUGAAAAGGUUGCAUAUGUAAAAUGCUCGGUUUUGAAGAACAAGGCCUGAGGUCCUUAUAUAGUCUAAGAGCCUUCUGGAUUUGGCCUAAGUUCAGAACCUGGCUUUCUUUUUGUGCAAAAUAAGUCCUUGGAAGUCCAGUCAAGGCUUUCCUAAAGCAGAGCUUCUUACAGUUUAAAAUUAAUAGCCAGUAGUAAGUCAUUAUGAUUUUACGUAACAAACCAGCUAUAAGAGUUUGCAGCCAGUUCUUAAACUUCCAGGAACUGUGCUGUGGGAUAUAAUGUUUCUAUAGAGAUCUUCUGUUGUGUCACAAAAUAGGUCUACAAAUAGGCAGCAGGGUGUCCCUUCUUUCACAGUCCUUCUUGUAUCUCUUUGCCAUAUAUUACAGUGGUGCCUCAUGGAAUACACAGAUGUCUUCCCAUAACUGUAUUUUUUAAAGAUGUUUCCAUUCCUUCCAAAAAGAUGCAGACUAGAGAUUGAAAGAGAAGCUGCAAUCUUCAGUUUUCCAAGGGCGCCUUGCAUACAAAAAUCCUGUGAGCUCAGAAAGAUUUUUUGGGCAUGGGUUUUAAUCCGGAGCUUUACGGCAGCCCUGCAGAUAAAACCUUCACUUAAAUGUGCCUUCUGUGGCCCAUACCCAUCUUACCAGAUAUAACUGUUGCCGAAACCUCCUCUCUAUGUAGACAGACCCCUGGAAGCUUUGCCAUUCCCUGUGGGAGCUCCCUAUGCCCUUGGCAUCCUCCACGAUGGCAGAGCACCCAUUUAAGAAGAAAGGAUUGUGCUAGUUCUCAAGAUUUCAAAGAAACUCUUGCAAACAUGUAACCCAGAGCUUGGGCUUGCAGCUGCCUGGCCGGUGGCUGGGAAGUAGGAGCUCCAAGCUUUGUGCCGCUUUGUGGCUGUUAACUGUGGAGUUUGCAGAUGACAUACUAGGCAUCGAAAACAAACCAAUCAUGUGUCUUUAAUUUAGCAUUCAACUAAGUUAAGCUGGAGCUCCUGGAGUUCAUCUUCAGAUUGGAAAAAAAAACCAAAAACCAAAAAACAAAACUUUCGUUCUUGAAAUGCCAACAGAUCUAGUAUAGAAUUUGUAUCCAAGUGCCACAGAUGGCAAGCACCAUGCUGCAAAGCAUGCACAAGCAUAUGCUCGUCGCUUGGAUGGUGAGCGUGUACUAUGCUCAUACUUGGAAAAGAAGUGUUCUAU